AACGAACGUUAGCGGCGCGCCUAACACAUGCAAGUCGAACGCGACAGGGGCAACUCUGUUGAGUGGCGCACGGGUGAGUAACACGUAGGUAAUCUCCCCCCGAGUGGUGGAUAACCUUCCGAAAGGAGGGCUAAUACAGCAUAAGACCACGGCUUCGAAAGGAGCUGAGGUCAAAGCGGAGGAUCGCAAGACUUCGCGCUUGGGGAUGAGCCUGCGGCCCAUCAGGUAGUUGGCGGGGUAACAGCCCACCAAGCCUAAGACGGGUAGCUGGUCUGAGAGGAUGAUCAGCCCCACUGGAACUGAGACACGGUCCGGACUCCCACGGGAGGCGGCAGUGGGGAAUCUUGCGCAAUGGACGAAAGUCUGACGCAGCGACGCCGCGUGGGUGAUGAAGGCCUUCGGGUUGUAAAGCCCUGUGGGGAGGGACGAAUAAGUUUCAGCUAAUACCUGAAGCGAUGACGGUACCUCCUUAGCAAGCACCGGCUAACUCUGUGCCAGCAGCCGCCGUAA
rnacentral:rRNA from 1 species